rnacentral:lncRNA from 1 species
GUCUUCAGAAAACUUUUCAGUUUUGGGAGUACUGAGAUAUAUUCCCAUUGCUAUCUUCUGAAGAGCAAUUAAUAGAAAAUGAAGAAGAAAAAAGAGAAUUGAUAAGAGAAGAAGAAGAAGAAGAGGAAGAAGAAGAGGAUUGAUAAGGAAUGAAAUUGAAUGAAGUAACUCAGGCAGAAGAAGAAGGAUGAUGACUGUUGAAAGACUGAAAACACAACAUUGUCAUUUUCUCUCUCUUCGAUUUUGUUCUUAUCUUCUUUAUUUAUUUAUUCGUUUUAUUGAUUGA